UCCAAUCAUGUUCAUGCUUAACGCAUGCACCAAAUAACAAUUAUUUAGGUUUAGCACCAAUCCCGAUGGUAGAGGGAGCGUGCGACGUUUGAUCAUAUCAACCUUGGAAACACUUCCAACACGUAUGGUCACCUCGCCUUUAGCUAGUCUCCGUUUAUGCCGUAGCUUUCAUUUCGUGUUACUAAUCACUUAGCAACCGAACCGGUAUCCAAUACCCUCGUGCUACUAGUAGUACUAGUAAAGUACACAUCAACAUCAUAU
rnacentral:lncRNA from 1 species